AAGAUUCUUGAGUUCCAAGGUCUAAAGGAGAUGGGAGCAGGGGCUGGGGACUUGGUAUGAGGCACAGAAGUGCACAUCUAUGAGAACUCCUGUGAUUAUGACUUUCAACACCCAGGCCUGGGCCUCUGGGACCAUGGUGGAGAGCAGGCUGUCCCACAAAGCAGGUUCCUAUGCACUUCAUGAGGGACCCUUGAGGAAUCUUAAACUGCCAGGUCACCAGCGAAUCUGAACCAAAGACAUGUUACCACCAUCGAAAAAGAUCCAUUUGCUUCAAAUUACCCUUUGAUUUUAAAAUGUCUUCACUGAGCAACAGAUGUCCUGGGUGCCAGUGGCUGGUUCCUACCUAUCUUUAACACUCAUCCCUGGCUGUGUUCUUCUGAAGUUUGGAGUCAAGAUGGCACUGCAGGAGCUUUAUAUGCCUAAGUGUGGCCAUGGAAAAGACAACUAGAGUUCCUCAGAUCUUCCAGAUAUUCCCCUACAUUAUCAAGACUCUCUUGCAGAAUGAGCAGAAUUCCAGAUGUUCCCCUACAUCACCAAGACUCUCUUGCAGAAUGAGCAGAAUCUGCACUGUGUCACUUCUGGAUGGAGGUAGCUAGAAAUCAGUGUGCUCUCUCCUACGCCCUUUCUCCCACUGCACCCCACUGGAAUACCAAGCAUUCCAAAUGGCACAGUGAGAAGCUUCAAAAGGGACUGGCCCAUAUUAGACUGUGAUGUGAAUGAAAAAUAUGUAUUUAUUGUAAUCAGUCACUGGUAUUUUAGACAUUUGUAUUACUAUUUAAUUACACACCUAUACUACUUAAGCCAACAUUCUUAAAAUAGACUAAAUCUAAAAUAUAAAAAUUAUAUAUAUAUGCAAAUGUGUCUCUAUAAGCUGUCUCAAUUAUUCUUCGAAUGUCUUUGUGACUGUUUAUACAUGUGAAGAUCCCAUGGGUGUAUGAGUGAAUUCCAUGAAGAGUGAGAACAUUAAAUAUUAAAUACAACUCUUUA